UAGGGAAUUUUGCGCAAUGGACGAAAGUCUGACGCAGCAACGCCGCGUGAGUGAUGAAGGUCUUCGGAUUGUAAAGCUCUGUUGAGUGGGAAGAAAAUCUCAAGGAAUAAUACCCUUGAGUCUGACGGUACCACUUGAGGAAGCCCCGGCUAACUACGUGCCAGCAGCCGCGGUAAUACGUAGGGGGCAAGCGUUGUUCGGAAUCACUGGGCGUAAAGGGAGCGUAGGCGGAAGGAUAAGUUAGGAGUAUAAUAUACGGGCUUAACUCGUAAUCUGCUUCUAAUACUGUUUUUCUUGAGUAUGGGAGAGGGAAAUGGAAUUCCAGGUGUAGCGGUGGAAUGCGUAGAUAUCUGGAAGAACACCAGCUGCGAAGGCGGUUUCCUGGCCCAAUACUGACGCUGAGGUUCGAAAGCUAGGGGAGCAAACAGG
rnacentral:rRNA from 1 species